CUGCAGCCCGAGUGGUGAUCGAUUUUAUUGAGCCUAAAGCGUCCGUAGCCGGACUAGUAAACCCUUGGGUAAAUUGGGCAGCUUAACUGUCCGAAUUCCGAGGGGACUGCUAGUCUUGGGACCGGGAGAGGUCAGAGGUACUCAAGGGGUAGGGGCUAAAUCCUGUAAUCCUUUGGGGACCACCAGUGGCGAAGGCGUCCGACUAGAACGGAUCCGACGGUAAGGGACGAAACCCUGGGGCGCGAACCGGAUUAGAUACCCGUGUAGUCC
rnacentral:rRNA from 1 species